UGGCUCAGGACGAACGCUGGCGGCGUGCCUAAUACAUGCAAGUCGAGCGAGUCUGCCUUGAAGAUCGGAGUGCUUGCACUCUGUGAAACAAGAUACAGGCUAGCGGCGGACGGGUGAGUAACACGUGGGUAACCUGCCCAAGAGAUCGGGAUAACACCUGGAAACAGAUGCUAAUACCGGAUAACAACAGAUGAUGCCUAUCAACUGUUUAAAAGAUGGUUCUGCUACCACUCUUGGAUGGACCUGCGGUGCAUUAGCUAGUUGGUAGGGUAACGGCCUACCAAGGCGAUGAUGCAUAGCCGAGUUGAGAGACUGAUCGGCCACAUUGGGACUGAGACACGGCCCAAACUCCUACGGGAGGCAGCAGUAGGGAAUCUUCCACAAUGGACGCAAGUCUGAUGGAGCAACGCCGCGUGAGUGAAGAAGGGGUUUCGGCUCGUAAAGCUCUGUUGUUGGUGAAGAAGGACAGGGGUAGUAACUGACCUUUGUUUGACGGUAAUCAAUUAGAAAGUCACGGCUAACUACGUGCCAGCAGCCGCGGUAAUACGUAGAUGGCAAGCGUUGUCCGGAUUUAUUGGGCGUAAAGCGAGUGCAGGCGGCUCGAUAAGUCUGAUGUGAAAGCCUUCGGCUCAACCGGAGAAUUGCAUCAGAAACUGUCGAGCUUGAGUACAGAAGAGGAGAGAGGAACUCCAUGUGUAGCGGUGAAAUGCGUAGAUAUAUGGAAGAACACCGGUGGCGAAGGCGGCUCUCUGGUCUGUUACUGACGCUGAGGCUCGAAAGCAUGGGUAGCGAACAGGAUUAGAUACCCUGGUAGUCCAUGCCGUAAACGAUGAGUGCUAAGUGUUGGGAGGUUUCCGCCUCACAGUGCUGCAGCUAACGCAUUAAGCACUCCGCCUGGGGAGUACGACCGCAAGGUUGAAACUUAAAGGAAUUGACGG
rnacentral:rRNA from 1 species